rnacentral:rRNA from 1 species
GACGAACGCUGGCGGCGUGCUUAACACAUGCAAGUCGAACGGAAAGGCCCUGCUUUUGUGGGGUGCUCGAGUGGCGAACGGGUGAGUAACACGUGAGUAACCUGCCCUUGACUUUGGGAUAACUUCAGGAAACUGGGGCUAAUACCGGAUAGGAGCUCCUGCUGCAUGGUGGGGGUUGGAAAGUUUCGGCGGUUGGGGAUGGACUCGCGGCUUAUCAGCUUGUUGGGGGGGUAGUGGCUUACCAAGGCUUUGACGGGUAGCCGGCCUGAGAGGGUGACCGGCCACAUUGGGACUGAGAUACGGCCCAGACUCGUACGGGGGGCAGCAGUGGGGAAUAUUGCACAAUGGGCGGAAGCCUGAUGCAGCAACGCCGCGUGCGGGAUGACGGCCUUCGGGUUGUAAACCGCUUUCGCCUGUGACGAAGCGUGAGUGACGGUAAUGGGUAAAGAAGCACCGGCUAACUACGUG